AUGCCGAUGUUGCCCAACUCCUUCACCACCUCCUCCUCAUGGCAAUCACACCAAGAUGCGUCCUCGAUUUGCACUAACCAAGAACUGGACUACGACCAUCCUUACUACUUCGGCAUUGAGGAGGUGGCCGUGGACGCCGACGAACUGGAGCUCGGCCUCCGGGCUCACAAGGCGACCAGGGUCGACUACCUCAGCUCGCCGUACCAGGCGUCUUGGCCACCGGCGCAGGCCGACCUCGAGUCGUCGCGCGUCAGGAAGACGAAGCAGUUCCGGGACGUUCUUGAGACCUGCAAGCAGAAGGUGGAAGCCAUGGAGGCCAUGGAACGGUCGUCAUCGCCGGUCGGCAGUGGCGGGUUCGAGGAACAAGGUGAGGCGGUGGUCGCCGUGGACGACGUCCGGGCCGGUGGUGGUGGCAGCGGAGCUGAUGGCAUGCGGCUCGUGCAGCUGCUGGUCGCCUGCGCCGAGGCCGUGGCGUGCCGCGACCGCGCGCAGGCGGCGGCGCUGCUGCGUGAGCUGCAGGUCGGCGCGCCCGUGCACGGCACGGCGUUCCAGCGCGUCGCGUCGUGCUUCGUGCAGGGCCUGGCGGACCGGCUAGCCCUGGCGCACCCGCCGGCCCUGGGCCCGGCGAGCAUGGCGUUCUGCGUCCCGCGGUCGUCGUGUCUCGACGGGGCGCGCGGCGAGGCGCUCGCCGUGGCGUACGAGCUGUGCCCGUACCUGCGCUUCGCGCACUUCGUGGCGAACACGUCCAUCCUGGAAGCCUUCGAGGGAGAGACCAACGUCCACGUGGUGGACCUCGGCAUGACGAUGGGCCUGAACCGCGGCCACCAGUGGCGCGCCCUGCUCGACAGCCUUGCCACACGGGCCUGCGGCAAGCCGGCGCGCGUUCGCGUCACCGGCGUCGGCGCCCGCGUGGACAUCAUGAGAGCCGUCGGGCGCGAGCUCGAGGCGUACGCGGAGGAGCUCGGGAUGACCCUCGAGUUCAUGGCCGUCGACCGCACCCUGGAGAGCCUCCACGUGGACGACCUCGGCGUCGAGGCCGACGAGGCCGUGGCCAUCAACAGCGUCCUGGAGCUGCACUGCGUGGUGAAGGAGAGCCGCGGUGCGCUCAACUCGGUGCUGCAGACCAUCCGCAAGCUCUCGCCGAAGGCGUUCGUGCUCGUGGAGCAGGACGCCGGCCACAACGGGCCCUUCUUCCUGGGGCGGUUCAUGGAGGCGCUCCACUACUACGCCGCGCUGUUCGACGCCCUCGACGCGGCGCUCCCGCGCUACGACGCCCGGCGCGCGCGCGUUGAGCAGUUCCACUUCGGCGCCGAGAUCCGCAACGUGGUCGGGUGCGAGGGCGCGGCGCGCGUGGAGCGCCACGAGCGCGCGGACCAGUGGCGGCGCCGCAUGAGCCGCGCGGGCUUCCAGGCCAUGCCCUUCAAGAUGGCGGCCAAGGCGCGGGAGUGGCUGGAGGAGAACGCCGGCGGCAGCGGAUACACCGUGGCCGAGGAGAAGGGAUGCCUCGUGCUUGGAUGGAAGGGCAAGCCAGUCAUCGCCGCCUCGUGCUGGAAAUGCUAG
rnacentral:rRNA from 1 species